GACGAACGCUGGCGGCGUGCCUAAUACAUGCAAGUAGAACGCUGAAGGAGGAGCUUGCUCUUCUGGAUGAGUUGCGAACGGGUGAGUAACGCGUAGGUAACCUGCCUGGUAGCGGGGGAUAACUAUUGGAAACGAUAGCUAAUACCGCAUAAGAGUAGAUGUCGCAUGACAUUUGCUUAAAAGGUGCAAUUGCAUCACUACCAGAUGGACCUGCGUUGUAUUAGCUAGUUGGUGAGGUAACGGCUCACCAAGGCAACGAUACAUAGCCGACCUGAGAGGGUGAUCGGCCACACUGGGACUGAGACACGGCCCAGACUCCUACGGGAGGCAGCAGUAGGGAAUCUUCGGCAAUGGACGGAAGUCUGACCGAGCAACGCCGCGUGAGUGAAGAAGGUUUUCGGAUCGUAAAGCUCUGUUGUAAGAGAAGAACGAGUGUGAGAGUGGAAAGUUCACACUGUGACGUAUCUACCAGAAAGGC
rnacentral:rRNA from 1 species